AUUGAACGCUGGCGGCAUGCCUUACACAUGCAAGUCGAACGGCAGCACGGGAGCAAUCCUGGUGGCGAGUGGCGAACGGGUGAGUAAUACAUCGGAACGUGCCCAGUAGUGGGGGAUAGCCCGGCGAAAGCCGGAUUAAUACCGCAUGAGACCUGAGGGUGAAAGCGGGGGAUCGCAAGACCUCGCGCUAUUGGAGCGGCCGAUGUAAGAUUAGCUAGUUGGUAGGGGAAAGGCCUACCAAGGCAACGAUCUGUAGUUGGUCUGAGAGGACGACCAGCCACACUGGGACUGAGACACGGACCAGACUCCUACGGGAGGCAGCAGUGGGGAAUUUUGGACAAUGGGCGCAAGCCUGAUCCAGCAAUGCCGCGUGCAGGAAGAAGGCCUUCGGGUUGUAAAGCUCUUUCGGCCGGGAAGAAAUCGCACAGGUUAAUACCCUGUGUGGAUGACGGUACCGGAAUAAGAAGCACCGGCUAACUACGUGCCAGCAGCCGCCGUAACAC
rnacentral:rRNA from 1 species